rnacentral:rRNA from 1 species
UACGGGGGGGGCAAGCGUUGUUCGGAAUUACUGGGCGUAAAGGGCUCGUAGGCGGCCAACUAAGUCCGACGUGAAAUCCCCAGGCUUAACCUGGGAACUGCGUCGGAUACUGGAUGGCUUGAAUUCGGGAGAGGGAUGCAGAAUUCCAGGUGUAGCGGUGAAAUGCGUAGAUAUCUGGAGGAAUACCGGUGGCGAAGGCGGCAUCCUGGACCGACAUUGACGCUGAUGAGCGAAAGCCAGGGGAGCGAACGGG